rnacentral:rRNA from 1 species
UGGGGAAUUUUGGACAAUGGGGGCAACCCUGAUCCAGCCAUGCCGCGUGAGUGAAGAAGGCCUUCGGGUUGUAAAGCUCUUUCGGCGGGGACGAAACGGUCCGUGACAACACCACGGACUAAUGACAGUACUCGCAGAAGAAGCACCGGCUAACUACGUGCCAGCAGCCGCGGUAAUACGUAGGGUGCAGGCGUUAAUCGGAAUUACUGGGCGUAAAGCGUGCGCAGGCGGCUCCUUAAGUCAGAUGUGAAAUCCCCGGGCUUAACCUGGGAACUGCGUUUGAAACUGAGGGGCUAGAGUGUGGAAGAGGGGGGUGGAAUUCCAGGUGUAGCAGUGAAAUGCGUAGAGAUCUGGAGGAACACCGAUGGCGAAGGCAGCCCCCUGGGCUAACAUUGACGCUGAGGCACGAAAGCGUGGGGAGCGAACAGGAUUAGAUACCCCCGUAGUCCCUGAGCGGGCUGGCAAGGCGCAU